AGUUUGUCUCUUUGACUCAUGACUUUGAACCCUUUCACAGGAGUGCAUAUGCCAAACAGUACUGUUCAUCUGAUGGAUAAUUCUUAUUUUAAUUCUGCUGAAAAGCUAAAAUGGAUAUUUUAAUCAAGAUUUCAACACAAUGUUAUUCUGGCAACAAGGAUGAAAUUGUAUUAAAUUUGAAUUGCCAUAGACACUGUAAAUCCUCCUGGAAAUCCCUAUUUGAAAGUGCUCCAGUCUCCAGCUUCAGCGACCUGCUUUGAGCUACAUUUCUCUUCAUCCUUCAAAUGAUCCCCAAAUGACUUGGUUUUGUGCUCCCUCAACAUAUUGAUCAUCUCUUCUGGAUGACAGCCACCUGGUUAACAUCUCUGAAAAAGCAGAACAGUCAAGUUUUGAAAAAAAUAAUCCAGAUGUGAUAUAACCAAGUACGAGUAAAGACAUACUAUAACUUCCUUUGUCUGCAUAUCAAACUUUAGUUAAUUCAGUC
ensembl:lncRNA